UACAGAGGUCUCAAGCGUUGUUCGGAUUCAUUGGGCGUAAAGGGUGUGUAGGUGGCGCGCUAAGUCGGGUGUGAAAUUUCGGAGCUUAACUCCGAGACUGCAUUCGAUACUGGCGUGCUUGAGGACUGGAGAGGAGACUGGAAUUCAUGGUGUAGCAGUGAAAUGCGUAGAGAUCAUGAGGAAGACCAGUGGCGAAGGCGGGUCUCUGGACAGUUCCUGACGCUGAGGCACGAAGGCCAGGGGAGCAAACGGG
rnacentral:rRNA from 1 species